GUUGUCGUGACCGAGUGGUAAACGCGAUUGAUUUCAACUCAUGGGAUCUUCCCGCGCAGGUGCGAAUCCUGCCAACAUCG
rnacentral:tRNA from 1 species